AGGACCCAAAGAAGAUCGACCCCAAACUGAUCAGUCCCUUCUUCGACCAAUUGUGCUGCUGUUUACCUGCCGGGGCGAGAAAAACACUCAGAUGUGGAGUGAAACACGGUGAGACUGUAUCAGACUUCCUCCCCAACAUGACCAGCACUCCGUACAAGAGAAGACCGUGGGACCUGGACGCUGAUGACGUAGAGAUGAAGCGCCUGUCACGUGACAGCAGGUCGUCUGACCGUUGCCAUGACAACAGCGUCCCGGUCCAGGAGCUGAAGAACGAGCUUAUAUAUUACCACACCUCCGUCUGAACAUUAGUGUGGUCUUCGGCGGAGUGAAGUGUGACAAUGCAUCCUACGUCUAGCUAGCCUCUACCACUACCAGGCUUCGGGAGGCGACUGGAAAGAGUAGAAAUCGGCCAAAUAGCUAGAGGGAUAACAUAUAUAUAGAAUACAACACGGGGUAUUCCGUAUCGCCCGAGGUAUCAGCCCGACCGCGAGUCCGAUCGUCCGUCCAAGUUUUUUUUAUGUAUGUCACAUAGAAACACAUCGAAACCCAUUUUUAUAUACUUCAUUGAAGGCGUGAUUUAACUACCAUUUUAGUACGUGCAUACUUUCAUGUUAUAACAGAUACUAAUAUUUACAAUAGUUCAGAUUUCUAUCUACAUAUGAAAAUUUGGUCCGGUUUUAUCAGGGUAAGUGUGAACGCUGCUGCGAGUAUACAAAUAUAGUAACUGUGAUGUCUAAAAUCUUCAUUUUAUCAUGUAUGAGAAUUUAUUUGUAAACUCUAACAUUUUCCCAAUUGUCACGGGGCAAAGUUGUGGCUAUCAACUAAUAGAUUGCAUUUCACUGAAGCGUGAAACCAUUUUAAUCUUGCUCAAGUAAUGACCUGCAAAUUUGUAACUGAAAUAAAUGAUGAAAA